GACGAACGCUGGCGGCGUGCUUAACACAUGCAAGUCGAACGGAAAGGCCCUGCUUUUGUGGGGUGCUCGAGUGGCGAACGGGUGAGUAACACGUGAGUAGCCUGCCCUUGACUUUGGGAUAACUUCAGGAAACUGGGGCUAAUACCGGAUAGGAGCUCCUGCUGCAUGGUGGGGGUUGGAAAGUUUCGGCGGUUGGGGAUGGACUCGCGGCUUAUCAGCUUGUUGGUGGGGUAGUGGCUUACCAAGGCUUUGACGGGUAGCCGGCCUGAGAGGGUGACCGGCCACAUUGGGACUGAGAUACGGCCCAGACUCCUACGGGAGGCAGCAGGGGGGAAUAUUGCACAAUGGGCGGAAGCCUGAUGCAGCAACGCCGCGUGCGGGAUGACGGCCUUCGGGUUGUAAACCGCUUUCGCCUGUGACGAAGCGUGAGUGACGGUAAUGGGUAAAGAAGCACCGGCUAACUACGUG
rnacentral:rRNA from 1 species